rnacentral:lncRNA from 1 species
UCAUUUUUUAUUAAGUAGGCCAUUUUGGAGCUAACUAAGCUAAUUAUGUCAUUUCGUAGGAUAAUUAGCCAAUUUAGCCUUUCUUGGAUAAGUCUAAGCUACGUAGAANCCUUCUUCUCCUUCUUCUUCUCCUCCUCCCUCUCCUCCUUCUCCUCAUUUUUCCUCUUCCUUCCUUUCAUUUUUCCUCUUUUUCUCUUCUUGUCCCCUUCUUCGGGCUAAAUUGGCUAAGAAUACCUUUUUGGAGCUAAUUA